rnacentral:rRNA from 1 species
AGGACGAACGCUGGCGGCGUGCUUAACACAUGCAAGUCGAGCGAGGCCCUUCCUUCGGGAAGGUGUCCUAGCGGCGAACGGGUGAGUAACACGUGGGCAACCUGCCCCUAGCACUGGGAUAACCCCGGGAAACCGGGGCUAAUACCGGAUACGACCUCAGAAGGCAUCUUCCGAGGUGGAAAGGGUUACUGGCUAGGGAUGGGCCCGCGGCCUAUCAGCUUGUUGGUGGGGUAAUAGCCCACCAAGGCGACGACGGGUA